rnacentral:rRNA from 1 species
UACGUAGGGGGCUAGCGUUGUCCGGAUUUAUUGGGCGUAAAGCGCGCGUAGGCGGCCAAGUAGGUCCGGUGUGAAAACUCGAGGCUUAACCUCGAGAUGUCAUCGGAAACCAUUUGGCUAGAGUCCGGAAGAGGAAAGUGGAAUUCCUGGUGUAGCGGUGAAAUGCGCAGAUAUCGUGUGGAACGCCAAAGGUGAAAACAGACAGCUGGGAGUGUGCUGACGCUGAGGAACGAAAGCGUGGGGAGCGAACAGG